CUCUCUCUCUCUCUCUCUCUCUCUCUCUCUCUACUCUUUUCCAUUUCCAUUUUCAUUUUCAUUUCCAUUUCCAUUUCCAUUUUCAUUUCCAUUUCCAUUCCUUUCUACAAAUGAGACAAACGAAAUUGUAAGCAAAUUGUUGAUUAUGAUACCCAAAAUCAAAAAUUAGUAUUAUAGUAGGGAGGUCCUCCAAUUGGAUUGGAAGUGGAAGAGAGAUGUCGCUGAGGAUUAAGGCUGUGGUAGACAAGUUCGUUCAGGAGCUGAAGGAAGCUCUGGAUGCUGAUAUUCAAGACAGAAUUAUGAAGGAGAGAGAGAUGCAAAGUUAUAUUGAAGAGCGUGAACGCGAAGUCGCAGAGCGCGAAGCUGCUUGGAAGGCUGAGCUCUCUCGUCGCGAGAACCUUGGAUUUGACUGCUGGUUGGCAUCUGUUGGAAAGUUCAAAUUACACACCUUUACUAGUUUUUUUAUUGAGGCAUGGAGUGCUGCGCAGCUAAUAAAUGAAGUCUCUUUCUUGGCCGAGAUUGCUCGUCAAGAAGCAAGGCUGAAGAUGGAAAAAGAAAAUCUUGAGAAAGAGAAAAGCGUUCUAAUGGGAACUGCAUCAAAUCAAGAUAAUCAAGAUGGAGCUCUUGAAAUCACUGUAAGUGGUGAAAAGUAUAGAUGCUUGAGAUUUGCAAAGGCAAAGAAAUAGGCUUUAGGAAGAAAAAAAAACCAUAUCCUGUUCUACUUGGCCAAAACCAUAUCCUGUUCUACUUGGCCAUUGGCUAGAACCAAAAAGAGAGGACAAGUGGGCAAGACUUCACAAAUGUAAUAUGCAUUCUUUCUUUCCUUUAGCCACUCUGCUAGUAGGCAUUUGAUUUGUUUCAAACACAAAAUAUGUACAUGCAAGUGAGCGUCAGUUCUGCAGAAAGUGAUGAUGCUCCAAAGCCAUGUUCUUUAAAACCAAUAAUGAAAAGGUCAGUGAUUUAUGUGAUGUUUACAAUCGGAGACUUCCAAAGUUCGUAUGCAAGAUGAAGUUGUCGUAGUCUGGUGAAAGGUGGUUCGAUGGUAGUUCAUGGAGCAAGCCUUAGAAGGGGCAAUAGGUCACCAAAGAACAAUUCCUCAUUUGGAAGCCUUCAUUUUGUUCUAAGUCUCCCUUGACCCAAAGCUUAGUGGUUUGUAGCAAUUCUUUCUUGAAGCGACUGUCCAUCCUCCAUCCCCGUGAGAUCUACAUGUGCUUUAAGUUUGAGCAUGAUCUUCUUUGUCUGGGGACGAUAGUUUUUUAUGUAGGUUUAUGAGUUCUUGUCGCUAUGGGCUUCAAUGUGUGUUUGAUGGGCGUUAAAGGCUACAGUAGCAAGGAGGCGAGUUUUUAUCAAUCUUUUAUCUCCCUUUCCUAGGAUAGCCAGAGUUACCAAGAAAACUGGUGCAGUUAGUUUUUAUCUUUGGAUCCUUUGUCGGAUCUAGUUAUGUUUUUUGAGUUCUAGUGCUCAAAAUUUUUAUGGGAUUUCCUUGGUUUAUAUAUGUAAUUGGGCCUUAGUUGUUUUAUGAUGUUUCUAAAUGUAGGCCUUUGGCCAUGCAUUUUAUUUCCUUUAAUGGAUAUUUGUGUUUGAAAAAAGAAAUAUUUACAUGAAAAAUAGAAGAAGAGGAGAGAGAAGAGAGAUGGUGGAGAGGGAAAGAGAGGAAGUAAAAUUAGGGUUAUUUUG